CUCCGAGAGAAGAGCACAAGAGCACGAGAGAAGAGCACGGUGGGUGCCUUGGCUUGGCCCCAGACAGCCCCAGGCAAAGCUAUCAACUUUCCAUUGCGUGCCUCAGUGGAGAGCAGAACAAAGUCCCAGGCUCUGCCCCCAUGCUGCCUCAUAGGCUGUCACCUGUUCUGCAUCAGCCCUGAUCCACCCAGUCACAGACACAUUCAGGGACAGGUCCUUGGAAAACAACAAAUCCAAGGUUUUUAUUACCGGUCAGAAGGUGCUCCCUCACAGUGUGAGAAGAGGAGAGGUGGCGCUCAGAAGAUGUUGGGGCACAUGUGCCAGUCCUGCUUCUCCUUGGCCUCCCAGUAGCCGCCCUUGUACAUGCAGGCCGUCUCCCCGGUCAGCGGGUCCAGCCUCUUCUCGAACCACAGCGGCAUGUACACAUCGGCCUCCUUCUCUGCUGGACGGGCACAAGGGCGGGCGGGGGGUGGGCGGGGGC